AUCUGUAUUUGCCCUGCAGUGCUGCCUCUGACUUGACACUGGCCUACUCCUGUCAGUGGGCUUUGGGAGAAAUGGAAAGUGCAAUGGGAUGUGAGAAAAGAGUCCUGCGCCUCUAACCACCUACCAUGUGCCAGGCUCACAGCUGUAAGAAACUUGGCCUUGAGUCUCAGAUGAGACUUUGGACUUCAGACUUUGGGUUGAUGCUGGAACAAGUUGACUUUUGGGGACUAUCAAGAUGGAAUGAUUGUAUUUUGCAAUGAGAGAAGAGUAUGAGUUUUGGGAGGGCCAGGGGUGAAAUGCUAUGGUUUGAGGCUUCCAAAUCUCAUGUUGAAAUUUGAUCUCCAGUGUUGGAGGUGGGGCCUAAUAGGGUGUGUUUGGGUCAUGGGGGCAGAUAUCUCUGAAUGGCUUGGUGCAGUCCUUGUGGUAAUGAGUUGAGUUCUUGCUCUAUCAGUUCCCAUGGGAGCCUAUUGUUAAAAAGUCCAUCACUUCCCUCUCUUUCUCUCUCACCAUGUGAUCUCUGCACACAUGCCAGCUCCCCUUCUCUUUCCACCAUGAGUGGAACCAGCCUGAGGUCCUCACCAGAAGCUGAUGCUGGUGCCAUGCUUCUUGUACAGCCUGCAGAACCGUAGGCCAAAUAAACCUCUUUUCUUAUAAAUUACCAGCCUCAGAUAUUCCUUUAUAGCAACACAAAUGGACUAAGACAAAUAUGUAUAUUUGUAUAACAUGAGUUCAUAAUUUACUUGUGAUUUUUAAUGUUUAAAACCCAUA
rnacentral:lncRNA from 10 species